rnacentral:lncRNA from 1 species
GAUAAUAUUUCAAAUUUUACAAAAGAUAAAAUCAUGGAUAUUAAAGAAUGAAAUUUUGAAAUGCAACACGAAAAAAAAAUUUUGUUGUAAAAUUAAAGUAAUCUUAUAUUUUAAAAUAUUAAUUUAAUAACAAAAAAAAUAAUAUCAUAACAUCUAAACAUAUAUAUCUUGUAUCAAUAAAAUUUACUAAAAUAAUAUGAUAGAUGCUACUAUGUAUAAAAUUUCCUAAAAUAAUAGGGUUGUAUUAUUUACAAAAAUAGUGUAUUUACUUAUAAAUCCCGCAAAAUACUAAAAUGAUAUAUGUUAAAGUAUAUUUUCUUAAACACAACAUGUAAAUAUAAAUUAUCUUAAACAUGCAUCUUUCCUAUAAUAUGACUAAAAAAAAUUCAAUAAUGUAUUAUAUGCAAAAUGUAAAAAUUGAAGAAAAACAUAUUUUAAAUGAGAUUAUCUAUUUGAUCAUUGGGAAAUUGCCAAAAAUAUCAUUUUCAAAGUACCACUUUUCAAGUUUACAACUAACCAAUUUUACCAUCAUCUUUAAUGAAGGGUAAAAGACAUUUAUAACCUUUUGAUUAACUUUAACAAAAAAAAACAUAUGGGUUAACUACUCUAAACUCUAAAUCAUCAACUCUAAACCCUAAACCAUGAAACAUCAACUCUAAACCAUAAACCCCGAAACAUCAACUCUAAACCCUAAACCUUCAAAUCUAAACCCUAAAACAUCAAACUAUAAACACUAAACGUAAACCCUAAACCCUAAAUCUAAACUUAAAACAUCAACCAUAAACCCUAAAUCAUCAACUCUAAGCCCUAAACUAUGAAACAUCAACUCUAAACCCUAAACCCCGAAAUAUCAACACUAAACCCUAAACGUAAACCCUAAACCCUAUAUUUUUCUGAAAUUCGAACCCUAAACCUUCAAAUCUAAACCCUAAAACAUCAACUCUAAACCCUAAACGUAAACUCUAAACCCUAAAACCCUAAACCUUCAAUUCUAAACCCUAAACAUCAACUCUAGGGUUUUAGGGUUUAGGGUUUAGGAUUUAGGUUUUAGGGUUUAGA